rnacentral:rRNA from 1 species
CCUUUGUACACACCGCCCGUCGCUACUACCGAUUGAAUGGCUUAGUGAGACCCUCGGAUUGCAGAUUGUGGCGUUGGAAACAACAUACGGUUCGCGAGAAGUUGGUCAAACUUGGUCAUUUAGAGG